GACGAACGCUGGCGGCGUGCUUAACACAUGCAAGUCGAACGAAGUGGCGAACGGGUGAGUAACGCGUAAUCAACCUGCCCUUCAGAGGGGGACAACAGUUGGAAACGACUGCUAAUACCGCAUACUGAAGGUGGGGCUUGCGUCUGAUUGGCUAGUUGGUGGGGUAACGGACCACCAAGGCGAUGAUCAGUAGCCGGUCUGAGAGGAGGAACGGACAAAUUUGGACUGAGACACGGCCCAGACUCCUACGGGAGGCAGCAGGGGGGAAUCUUCCGGAAAGGAAGAAAGUUUGACGGAGCAACGCCGCGUGAGUGAUGACGGCCUUCGGGUUGUAAAGCUCUGUUAAUCGGGACGCGGUACCGGAAUAGAAAGCCACGGCUAACUACGUGCCAGCAGCCGCGGUAAUUC
rnacentral:rRNA from 1 species